UUGGAGGGCAAGUCUGGUGCCAGCAGCCGCGGUAAUUCCAGCUCCAAUAGCGUAUAUUAAAGUUGUUGCAGUUAAAAAGCUCGUAGUUGAAUUUCGGGAUCAAUAUGUUGGUCGUGCCAUUGGUACGUACUGGCAUUAUUGGUUUCUACCUUCUGAAGAACCUCGAUGUCAUUAAUUUGGUGUCUUGGGGAAUCAGGACUGUUACUUUGAAAAAAUUAGAGUGUUUAAAGCAGGCUCGCGCUUGAAUACAUUAGCAUGGAAUAAUGAAAUAGGACGUUUGAUUCUAUUUUGUUGGUUUCUAGGAUCGACGUAAUGAUUAAUAGGGAUAGUUGGGGGCAUUAGUAUUCAAUUGUCAGAGGUGAAAUUCUUGGAUUUAUUGAAGACUAACUACUGCGAAAGCAUUUGCCAAGGAUGUUUUCAUUAAUCAAGAACGAAAGUUAGGGGAUCGAAGACGAUCAGAUACCGUCGUAGUCUUAACCAUAAACUAUGCCGACUAGGGAUCGGAUGAUGUUAAUUUUUUAAUGACUCAUUCGGCGCCUUACGGGAAAC
rnacentral:rRNA from 1 species